rnacentral:rRNA from 1 species
GGUGCCCGUACCGCAAACCGACACAGGUAGGUAGGAAGAAGAUUCUAAGGCCAACGGGAGAAGGGUUGUUAAGGAACUCGGCAAAUUGACCCCGUAACUUCGGGAGAAGGGGUGCUCCAGAGAUGGAGCCGCAGAGAAUCGGCCCAAGCAACUGUUUACCAAAAACACAGGUUUGUGCUAAAUCGAAAGAUGACGUAUACGAGCUGACGCCUGCCCGGUGCUGGAAGGUUAAGAGGAGAUGUGCAAGCAUUGAAUCGAAGCCCCAGUGAACGGCGGCCGUAACUAUAACGGUCCUAAGGUAGCGAAAUUCCUUGUCAGGUAAGUUCUGACCCGCAUGAAAGGCGUAAUGAUUUGGGCACUGUCUCAACAGCCCGCCCGGCGAAAUUGUAGUACCGGUGAAGAUGCCGGUUACCCGCGACAAGACGGAAAGACCCCAUGGAGCUUUACUGUAGCCUAAUAUUGGGUUUCGAUGUUGCAUGCACAGGAUAGAUGGGACACAGGGAAACAAGUGCUUUGGCAUUUGUGGAGUGGCCGUUGGGAUACCAUCCUUGCGAUAUUGGAAUUCUAACCUGCGCCUUUGAAUCAAGGCGGGGGACAUUGUUAGGUGGGCAGUUUGACUGGGGCGGUCGCCUCCUAAAGAGUAACGGAGGCGUUCAAAGGUUCGCUCAGCUUGAACGGAAAUCAAGCAAAAGAGUGCAAACGCAGAAGCGAGCCUAACUGCGAGACUGACGGGUCGAGCAGUAACGAAAGUUGGAGUUAGUGAUCCGGUGGUAUGUGAGUGGAAAUGCCAUCGCUCAACGGAUAAAAGUUACCCUGGGGAUAACAGGCUGAUCUCCCCCAAGAGUCCACAUCGACGGGGAGGUUUGGCACCUCGAUGUCGGCUCAUCGCAUCCUGGGGCUGUAUUCGGUCCCAAGGGUUUGGCUGUUCGCCAAUUAAAGCGGUACGCGAGCUGGGUUCAGAACGUCGUGAGACAGUUCGGUCCCUAUCUGUCGUGGGCGCAGGAUAUUUGAAAGGCGCUGUCCCUAGUACGAGAGGACCGGGAUGGACGAACCUCUGGUGCACCAGUUGUCACGCCAGUGGCACAGCUGGGCAGCUAUGUUCGGAUCGGAUAAACGCUGAAAGCAUCUAAGCGUGAAGCCGGCCUUAAGAUAAGAUAUCCCACUGAGUCAAUCAGGUAAGACCCCUUGAAGACUACAAGGUUGAUAGGCACACAGUGUAAGCGGAGUGAUCCGUUCAGCUAGCGUGUACUAAUAGGUCGAGGGCUUGACCC